GACGAACGCUGGCGGCGUGCCUAAUACAUGCAAGUAGAACGCUGAAGGAGGAGCUUGCUCUUCUGGAUGAGUUGCGAACGGGUGAGUAACGCGUAGGUAACCUGCCUGGUAGCGGGGGAUAACUAUUGGAAACGAUAGCUAAUACCGCAUAAGAGUAGAUGUUGCAUGACAUUUGCUUAAAAGUUGCAAUUGCAUCACUACCAGAUGGACCUGCGUUGUAUUAGCUAGUUGGUGGGGUAACGGCUCACCAAGGCGACGAUACAUAGCCGACCUGAGAGGGUGAUCAGCCACACUGGGACUGAGACACGGCCCAGACUCCUACGGGAGGCAGCAGUAGGGAAUCUUCGGCAAUGGACGGAAGUCUGACCGAGCAACGCCGCGUGAGUGAAGAAGGUUUUCGGAUCGGAAAGCUCUGUUGUAAGAGAAGAACGAGUGUGAGAGUGGAAAGUUCACACUGUGACGGUAUCUUACCAGAAAGGGACGGCUAACUACGUG
rnacentral:rRNA from 1 species